GUCAGAUUCUGCUUUGUCUCGCCCAGAGUUGACAAAAUGAGGUUUCUCUCCUUCAGCAAGUUUUCUUUCUCAUUUUGCAGUUUCUCAAUUUCGGAUUCAAGGUUUUGUAUGCAGUCAAGUUUUCUCUUACGACAUCGCUGCGCUGCAAUUCUAUUCUUACUUCGUCUGCGGAUAUCAUGGAUACAGUCCAACUGCUCAGGGGUUAAUUUAUGCAUCUUCAGAAAUGACUGGAAGUCAUUUCUGGAAAGGGAGAUAAUCCUUUGAGCAUUAAAUGGCAGUUUUACCUCACAUUCCUGUUCUCUAGCUGAACAGGAUUCACUGUCUCCCUCGGUAUCGGUUUCUGAAUCCUCCCCCAAACUUAUCACAUAAUUAUAGGGACACUGUUCUUGCUGCUGCCCUUGAACAUAAUCUCCACUGCUUAUUUCAGAGCUGUUGGAGCAUCCUUCAGUACUGAGAUUGCUUAUGAAGGGGCACUUGACAGAACUCAAUGUCGUAAAAGUUCUUUGAGAGCAAGGCUCAGGACUUUCACUGAUCCUGAUACCCAGCCAUGGACACUCUGAUUUCUUCCCCGAAUAUGCAGGCUCCAAGCGUUCUUUUGGCACUGCAGAUGGCAAGUGGAUUUGACAGGCUUCUGUACUGUAAAUAUCGCUCCAGAACCCUUUUGCUAAAUGCUCUGCUACCUCUCUCUCCACACUGCUUCUAUCACCAGUUGAUGUAAUGUUAAUGGCUUCCCUAGCACACAAAUCAACCUUUAAAGUUGCAUUGUCGUGACUUUCGAUUUUGUCACUUUCAGCUCCAGUACCUGUUGCAGUUUUUUCAGAUAAGAUUGUGGUGCUUUGCAUACUACUGAAAUUUAAGUUACCAUAUUGCUCACAAGUACGUAAAAAAGACACGGAAUUAAGUCCAUGAGGCGCAGCAGCGUUUUGAGGGAAAGCAGCAACAUCCAUCUUCUCCACAGGACACGAGAUGCUUUCAGUCACAGAAUCUCUCUUUGAUUCUUCUUUUUUCUCGAUGUCUUCCUCCCCUUCUUCCAUUUUCACCUGAGCCUCUUCACACUGUGAGACCAGCUGCAUAGGAACACACUCCUGAGCUUUUGGUGUGCUGUCAUUAUCAGGUAUUUCUUUCUCGAUAGAAGUUACAGUUGGUGGCACCUGAACGUCUUUAGUACUGGAACUGGAAUCUGAAGUAUGAACUUUGUCAUUUCCGAAAGCUUUCUGGAAUUUCCUAUACUUGGGGCACUGGGAAGAUGAGCUGGAAACAUGGCCUUUUUCUAAAUGCAUAGGAUCUGAGGUUGGGUUGGUAUUAUCUUGAAGGGCAGGUGAUGCUUUAGCAUUUUCAUCAUCUUUACAGAGCUUUGUGUGAGAGGUUUGAAUAUACUCUUUUUCUAUAAGUUCUUCUGCUUCAUCAUCUAUUUCUAAGUCUCCAUCAUCCACGCUGCUAAUUUUAGGGUUUACUUUCCUGCAAUGCUGCGUGCAGCAUUUCUUCCUAGGACACUCUUGAUCUGAUUUACAGUCCAAAAAUUUGAAUUUGAGAAACUGAAAGCAAGACUCUUCAAUGUUCCGUACGCCCAAGAAUUCAGCACACUUGCAAACUUCAGACACGUUGUCUUUAUUUAAAAUAAGCUUAGCUGUGUAUGCAAACUGAAGCAAGGGACUAAAUCCUUUAAGUGUUACCUCUUCUGGUAAAGUGAUGAUAAGAUCAGCAUCCAACUGGCCCACAAUUCUUGAAAGGAAGUAACUACUGCAAGCUGCAAGCACAGCUUUGUGAGCCCGAAAUCGCUGGUCUUCCACUAAAAUAGUGACAUCACAAAGAAUAUCUUGCUUUCUCUGAUCAUCGAGACUGAGAAGUACAUUGGUACUGUGUACUGAAGACUCGUAUGCAAAAACCACGCUGUUCUUCUCACUUAGAGACAUUCUGUAUCACAGAUGUUAGCAUAAGUCUCAGUGGAAAGCAUGCUUCUAUUUUUCCAAUCUCAGCGCUUCUGCUGCCGCCGCCGCCCCUCAGCCGCGGGCCGGGCGGGCGGCCGGUGGGCAGCACCGCCGCCGCCUCUCUCCGUUUCCUUUCCCCGCUCCCUUUCUCUCCUGCUCGGUCGCUCCCGUCCCAGCGGCUGCGGCCCGACUGCGGCGACCGCGGUCAGGUG
rnacentral:lncRNA from 1 species